UGUGCCGUUUGGUUGAAGUGAUUCCCACGGACGAUCGGCAGAGUGAUUUGUGGUGAUUUGUGCAGCCUCUAUGUGAUCAUCUCCGUGCAAAAUGGAGAAACCGUACGACCACGAACGGCCACCCGAAGGUGUUGAGUUGCUCGCCGUGAAGUCAUCCGAUGGCGCUGGCAGCCGAGAGGACGCUGGGCGCUGUUAUGAUCCGCAUCUACAUCGCAACCUCGCGAACCCAACGUCCACCGUGGGAACGUUCGUGCACGUGAUGAAGUCAGCCCUCGGUAUCGGCAUCCUGUCGGUGCCGGGUGCGUUCAAGGAUGGUGGCCUCGUGUUCGGUGUGGCCGGUACCUUCUUCCUCGCCAUGCUCUGCUCCCACAGUGCGCACAUUUUGGUUAGCACCUCUUACAGGAUCUGCAAAAAGGAACGCAUACCGGUGCUCGGAUUCGGCGAGACGGUGGAGAAAGCUUGCUCCUACGGGCCACCAUCCAUCCAGACACUUGGCAGGGUUCUAAGGAACGCCAUCGAUUGGUAUCUGAUGCUGACGACGGUCGUCGUGUUCAUCGUGUUCGUCGGGACGACGCUGCGCGAGGUCAUCAACUAUCGGACCGGGCUGGAGUGGAGCGACCGGACGUACAUCCUGCUCGUCGGCAUUCCGAUUCUGUUCAUCACGCAGAUACGGGAGCUCAAGUAUCUCGUCCCGUUCUCGGCCAUCGCCGGAUUUCUCAUCCUCGCCAACAUCGUCAUCUCGCUGGUGUUUGUGUUUCAGGAACCGCUCUCGCUGGAAGACCGUCGGCUCUUUCCCACCACGGCAACCGUUGCACCGUACAUGGGCGUCGUGUACUUUGCGCUGGAUGCGACCUGCCUGAUAUUUCCGCUGGAGAACCAGAUGCGCAACCCGCGCCACUAUCUCGGGUGUCCGGGCAUCGUCAACCUCAACUACGUGUGUCUGGCGGUGCUGUACAGCUUCUUCGGUGCCGUCGGCUACAUCCGGUACGGCGAGACCGUCAAGUCUUCCAUCAUUCUCAACUUCCCGCCCGAUAGCCUACUGGUGUCCAGCAUUCAGGUACUGUCGGCGGUCGCAGUGCUCUUUUCGAUCGGGCUCAUCUUCUACGUACCGAGCGAGAUCGCCUGGAAGAAGCUACGGUCGCGGGUCCCAAAGGAGUGGACCGGUUGGGCGCAGGCCGGGCUCCGGUUGGCCAUGCUGGUGCUGAAUAUGGUGGCCGCCUGCGGGAUACCGCAUCUCGGGACGUUCAUGGGGCUGCUCGGUUCCGUGCUGAACCCGAUCCUGGCCCUCUGGAUACCGAUCGUCGUCGAUACGGUGUACCGGUGGCCGAACCGGCGCUUCGGGCGCUUCCACUGGCGGUUGGUGAAGAAUGGGGCGUGCGCCUGUUUCGGGCUCUUCCUGCUCAUCACCGGUGCCAUCUCGAGCGUGCAGAACAUCAUGGCACUGUACCAGUAGCGGCGAAGGCGAUGGUGAAGGAGAAAUGAAGCUGCUUCAAGGUUCUGCUUCUUUCCCUUUCUCGUGUAGAACCCAAAACCUAGCAAGGUUUGUGUUAAAUUAUUGCUCUUAGAGACUGCACUGCACGGCUGCACUCCGACACCAGGAAGCAAGACAAACGUUCUUUCACUCUCUCAUCUCGUUCAGUAUUUGUGUCAUCUCCCCACGGCCAUGUCUACUACGAU